AGUGAACGCUGGCGGUAGGCCUAACACAUGCAAGUCGAACGGCAGCACAGUAAGAGCUUGCUCUUACGGGUGGCGAGUGGCGGACGGGUGAGGAAUACAUCGGAAUCUACUUUUUCGUGGGGGAUAACGUAGGGAAACUUACGCUAAUACCGCAUACGACCUACGGGUGAAAGCAGGGGAUCUUCGGACCUUUCGCGAUUGAAUGAGCCGAUGUCGAAUUAGCUAGUUGGCGGGGUAAAGGCCCACCAAGGCAACGAUCCGUAGCUGGUCUGAGAUGAUGAAAAGAGAAAGAGGAACUGAGAAACGGUCAAGACUCCUACGGAAGGAAGCAGUGGGGAAUAUUGGAGAAUGGGCGCAAGCCUAAUCCAGCCAUACCGCGUGGGUGAAGAAGGCCUCCGGGUUGUAAAGCCAUUUUGUUGGGAAAGAAAAGCAGCAGGUUAAUACCCCGCUGUUCUGAAGGUACCCAAAGAAUAAGCACCGGCUAACUUCGU
rnacentral:rRNA from 1 species